GUAACGAUGACACCAGCGAUUAAUCGGCGUUAAUAUAUGACCCGAUUAGCAGCUUCCGGGAAACCAAAGUUUUUCGUUUCCGGGGGAAGUAUGGUUGCAAAGCUGAAACUUAAAGGAAUUGACGGAAGGGCACCACCAGGAGUGGAGCCUGCGGCUUAAUUUGACUCAACACGGGAAAACUCACCCGGCCCGGACACCGUAAGGAUUGACAGACUGAGAGCUCUUUCUUAAUUCGGUGGGUGGUGGUGCAUGGCCGUUCCUAGUUGGUGGAGCGAUUUGUCUGGUUAAUUCCGAUAACGAACGAGACUCUGGCCUAUUAAAUAGACGAUAUAUUUAAAAGUAUAUCGCGCUUCUUAGAGGGACAAGCGGCGUCUAGCCGCAUGAAAUAGAGCAAUAACAGGUCUGUGAUGCCCUUAGAUGUCCGGGGCUGCACGCGCGCUACACUGAAGUGAUCAGCGUGCAUUUUCAGCCUACUCUGCCAAGAGUGGGAAACCCAAUGAACCUUCUUCGUGAUUGGGAUAGGAGAUUGUAAUUAUUCUCCUUGAACGAGGAAUUCCCAGUAAGCGCGAGUCAUAAGCUCGCGUUGAUUACGUCCCUGCCCUUUGUACACACCGCCCGUCGCUACUACCGAUUGAAUGUUUUAGUGAGGUCUUCAGACUGGCCGGCGCAGCUGCUCUCGUAGUAGCAGCGCUGUGUUUGGGAAGAUGCCCAAACUUGAACAUUUAGAGGAAGUAAAAGUCGUAACAAGGUUUUCCGU
rnacentral:rRNA from 1 species